UCCAUACAAGUGCCUAUUCCUGAACCUGUGUUUUUUAUGAUUGAAUUAGAUAAAACAAGUCUUUAUAUAUUUCUUCAGACUAGGACGAGCAUGCUGGGACGUUUUAUCAAUCUCUGUAGGUUUUGUUUUGUGGGGAUGCCCCUAAAGUUGUAUCCAAGGGUUCACCCCUUUCUUCUGUGUCAAAUAAAAUUAAAGAAAUCCCUUUUGGUGAGCAAAAUUAGAACAAUUAACGUAGUUCCUCCUUUUGAACUUCAGAAGACUCAUGUAGUAGAUAAGUUGUAUACAAAUGCUAUCAUUGUGUUGUAUAGUGGGUAUCUGAUUCAGUAACAAAUUACGAAAAGGAAUAUAGUCCAUGCUUUAUUGUGACACAUGGAUAUAUUACUUGAUAUCUUGUGCCUGUGCUGCUCCCUAUGAUAGAGUCGAAUAUAUGCAAGAAUGCCUUUAUUUUGUUCCCCAAUAAAAUGAUGAGUUCACACCCUUUAUGCAUUUCAUUCUUCUAGUGAAGGUUCCUAUGAUCUGUUUCAAAUCACACAUCCGUCCAUUAUGCUUUUCACUGUUGUAGUUGUUGUGGUGAAGGUACCUAUCUUCUGUUUCAAAUCACACAUCCAUAAAAUAAUUCUUAUGACCAGAAUAUAAUUCUUUUGUAGUGAAUAUAUUCUUUUCAUGUCUAUUACUGUUGUGACCAGAAUAAAAAAAUAAUCCUGUAUUGCAAACUUCCUUUUCUUCACUUGGCAUUGUAAAGACAGCUACUGCAUUGGUUAAGUUGGCAGGCUAGACUACCUCAAGUAGUGAAAUUUAACUAAAUCGCUAUUUUGUGCACCGUUACAGGACAAGGAAGGGAUUGUUGGUGCUCAGGGACACCGCUCCCAACACCUUUAGCCUUGGCCCGAUGCCCCAGUUCGCACAGUCAGGAGGUUUUCCGUAUCAGCUUCAGUUUGUUCACGGUGUUUUAUCAAUGAUGAUGUACUGCUUCAAAAUUUGUUCUGGUACUCUCCAAAUUUAUAUGACCCAAGAAUAUGUCCUGGAUCACUGUUUUAUAUUCAGAAGUUCAUUCUUGUUAACUGGUUGGUUUGAAUUCUUCUAGCCUUCCAUCCAAUUUUUGUGUAAACGACCAAUGUAGGGUCACUCUGCACCAAGAGUAUGGUUGUUCUAGCUAAGGAGAAUACACCAAGAAAAGCAACCGAGCAGAAUUCAGCAGCAUGCCUACAAUGACAUCUCAGUUUUGAAAAUAUAACUUGAGCAACAUCAUAAAUAUUGUGUAUCUAUUAAAUUCAUAUAUACCUGGGAUCAUUUUUCUAUAUUGAUGUAG
rnacentral:lncRNA from 1 species